rnacentral:rRNA from 1 species
AACGAACGCUGGCGGCAUGCCUAACACAUGCAAGCCGAACGAGACCUUCGGGUCUAGUGGCGCACGGGUGCGUAACGCGUGGGAACCUGCCCUUAGGUUCGGAAUAACUCCCCGAAAGGGGUGCUAAUACCGGAUAAUGUCUUCGGACCAAAGAUUUAUCGCCUUGGGAUGGGCCAGCGUAGGUUUGGCUGGUUGGUGGGGUAAAGGCCUUCCAAGGCGACGAUCCUUAACUGGUCUGGAGAGGAGGUUCAGCAACACUGGGACUGAGACACGGCCCAGACUCCUACGGGAGGCAGCAGUGGGGAAUAUUGGACAAUGGGCGAAAGCCUGAUCCAGCAAUGCCGCGUGAGUGAUGAAGGCCUUAGGGUUGUAAAGCUCUUUUACCAGGGAUGAUAAUGACAGUACCUGGAGAAUAAGCUCCGGCUAACUCCGUGCCAGCCGCCGCCGUAACAC